GACGAACGCUGGCGGCGUGCUUAACACAUGCAAGUCGAACGGAAAGGCCCUGCUUUUGUGGGGUGCUCGAGUGGCGAACGGGUGAGUAACACGUGAGUAACCUGCCCUUGACUUUGGGAUAACUUCAGGAAACUGGGGCUAAUACCGGAUAGGAGCUCCUGCUGCAUGGUGGGGGUUGGAAAGUUUCGGCGGUUGGGGAUGGACUCGCGGCUUAUCAGCUUGUUGGUGGGGUAGUGGCUUACCAAGGCUUUGACGGGUAGCCGGCCUGAGAGGGUGACCGGCCACAUUGGGACUGAGAUACGGCACAGACUCCUCCGGGAGGCAGCAGUGGGGAAUAUUGCACAAUGGGCGGAAGCCUGAUGCAGCAACGCCGCGUGCGGGAUGACGGCCUUCGGGUUGUAAACCGCUUUCGCCUGUGACGAAGCGUGAGUGACGGUAAUGGGUAAAGAAGCACCGGCUAACUACGUG
rnacentral:rRNA from 1 species